rnacentral:rRNA from 1 species
UAGGGAAUCUUCGGCAAUGGACGAAAGUCUGACCGAGCAACGCCGCGUGAGUGAAGAAGGUUUUCGGAUCGUAAAACUCUGUUGUUAGAGAAGAACAAGGACGUUAGUAACUGAACGUCCCCUGACGGUAUCUAACCAGAAAGCCACGGCUAACUACGUGCCAGCAGCCGCGGUAAUACGUAGGUGGCAAGCGUUGUCCGGAUUUAUUGGGCGUAAAGCGAGCGCAGGCGGUUUCUUAAGUCUGAUGUGAAAGCCCCCGGCUCAACCGGGGAGGGUCAUUGGAAACUGGGAGACUUGAGUGCAGAAGAGGAGAGUGGAAUUCCAUGUGUAGCGGUGAAAUGCGUAGAUAUAUGGAGGAACACCAGUGGCGAAGGCGGCUCUCUGGUCUGUAACUGACGCUGAGGCUCGAAAGCGUGGGGAGUAAACAGG